UUUCAAAAUCACUCUUUCCAGAAAAGUAGGGUGUGUGACUCAGAUUUCCACCCGAAGGUGGUCCUUGAGAGAAGGUCUUAGAUGUUUAGAAGAGGUUAUGUUACAUUCUUUGGUAUCACUUAUUAUUUCCUUCAGGCAAACCACAUGUCAGAGGACUUCAAUCUGAAAAUGACAACCACAGUUUCCUAUUAGACAAGAAGUGACAGGUUACCGUAAUCCAGAUGUCCUUGAAGUUAGAAGCACUUAGGAAAACUUUUGCUUUGAGUGCAUUGUAUAGGACCACAUUAACAGAUGGAGUCUGGAUCUGUAGCCCAGGAUGAAGUGCAGUGGCAAGAUCUCGGCUUACUCCGCCUCCCAGGUUCACACCAUUCUCUUGCCUCAGCCUCCUGAAUAGCUGGGACUACAAGCGCCCGCCAUCACGCUCGGCUAAUUUUUUGUGUUUUUAGUAGAGACGGUGUUUCACCGUGUUAGCCAGGAUGGUCUCGAUCUCCUGACCUCGUGAUCUGCCUGCCUGGGCCUCCCAAAGUGCUGGGCUUACAGGUGUGAGCCACCGAGCCCGGCCUUCAAGUUCCCUUCUUUUACAACCAUUACCGCAGGCCAGCCUAGCUCACAAGUUUGACAGUUUGGGAGUUCUGCUAUUUUUAUGUUUAAGUUUUGGGUCUCAUCCUCAGCUUUCUCUACCUACCACUUAUGGGAGAUAACAGCUUCUUUAUAUGCUACAAAGAAAGAAUUGUAGCUUUCACACAUUCAGUCCUUUGUUAUAUUUUCCAAAGGUUAAUUAAGCUUGGCAAGGGACAUCCAAUUUGACAAUCUUUAUGGUUAUCAUUUAUCCUGUAUUUAAUCAAAUGCUUGACAUAUUACACAAGCUAGUGAAUUUGUGUCCACUGGUUUACCAUCUCAGUUUACCCCUGAUGAAAACUUUAAUAAUCAUAUGGCUAUCUUGGCUACCUAUGCCAAGGACUAUCUGAGCUUCACCUACUAUACUGAUGGGAUCCUUACUGCUAGUAAGGUGGUACAUAAUUCAGCUUCAAAAUUCCACCAUUAUGUCUGUUUUCUUUAACCACGUCAAAGGUCAACUCCUAUAGGAUAGGGGUUGGAGAGACCCUUGCAACCAGGCCGAGAUGAAAAUUAGCAUGCUGUUUUAUUAGCAAGUGCAUUCAGAGUCACAAGGGAAGGGAGAGAAGAGGAAGAAAGGGAAGGAAAGAGGAAGACGAGGGAAGGGAAGGAAGUAGUCUCAGACUGAGGGAGUAAUUAGGCUGCAUGCAGUCUCAAAACCUUAGUCAAUCUCAUAGAGUUUUAAAUUUAGAAUAACACUUGUGAAUAUCACAAGUUGGGUGAGGGAGCCAGGAAUUUAUACCCCUUUGUUAGUCAGUCAUUAGAAAUGGGCUACCCAAUGAAGGGGACAUGACCUCAGGUGACUCUUUAGCCAAGACAAUUGUAAAUCAGACUGGUGGCUGGGAGCUGUUCGCUGACUGCACUCCGAGCAACGAAGGAAUGAAUCCUUGAGUCUUGAAGAGUAAUCUGCAUGGCGCAUCUGAGUUUCCAGUGCAAAUACCUUCCAUGUCAGUUGCUAUGAAAUAGAUAGGAUGAACAGAUAUUGUCCAAACAAUACUGGGUGAUAUUACAGUCAUAUUUUAUUUGCUUAACGACUUGCUGUUGAAUAAGUGAAUAACUCACAUAUAUGCUUUUAGGAAUUCAAUAUUUGGUUAUAUCCAGUCGGCAUGCUGGUCCAAGACAGAUCAAUACAUCCAAUAUAAAAAUGAAAACUUGCAACUAGUGCAUAGCUUGAGGACAGUAUCUAUGUAUAGAAACACAAUGUGUUCAAUUUGGCCAAAGCAAAUUUGUAAGACUUUGAGAGAUUGCACACUUACUGUGUCCAAAAAACCCCUGAAAGACUGAACUGUAAAAGUAGUAUCUAUUUUAUGGCAAUAAGGUAUACUAUUCCUAGAUAACAGGAAUCAGUUAAAUUGAAUUUGAGUUUUUCUAGCACCUAGAAAUUACUUCAUAAUUCUAUUAUCACUAAGUGCAGUAAACAGCAGGGUGUAGAAGAUGUCUAAAAUUUAAUUGGAGAGCUCUAUUAAGAGAUAAAGAAGACAUAAGCCAGGAAACAGACAUUGAUUAUAGUCCAGAAAAUUGAGCUUAAGAGGGGGUUAAGUAAAUUAGAAUGAUAAACUUAAUACGUUCUACUAGUUCUAUGAUAUGUCAAUUGUACUGUGAGAAAACUGUUCUGUAGUCAGGAAAAUUUACAUUUCACUAAGUUAAGUAAAAUUAAUUAUUACCAUUAACUAUAAGGACAAAUUUAAAUUUCAAGACUGAAGGAUUCACUCCUUAUAGUUAAGUAAAAUUAUUACUAUUAAGUAAAUAACUAUUGCUACUUACGUAGUACUUAAUAGCAAUACUUAAUUUUACUUAACUAUAAGGACAGAUUUUCUUAACUAUAAGUACUUGCCAGACUCAAAUAUUUUAAAAUACUCUGUUAGCACAAGGCUUUUAAGAAGCAGAUGUCAAGAUGGGAUUAGAUGUACAAGAGAUAAUUUUCGUAUUUAAAAAAAAAAAACCCCAUGAAGUCUAAAGGGGAUGGUAGCAGGAAAAUGCAGGAAGAGCUUUUCUAUCAUGGUGGAGUUACGACAUCCAUGAAAGGUGAGAUGGAAGGAAGGAGGAUUGGGUAGAAGAGCUUCAGAGAAAGUGUCGUCCAGACAAUGUGGAGACCCUGGAACAAAGCUGUCAGUCAGAGGAGUCCUGCAUGGCGGGUAAUAGUCUGGCUCUAGUACUCUUGCUGUGUCCAAUCACAGGCUGAGCAUAACCCUGGAGGAAGUGUGGGCUUUGGUAUCAAGGCCUUGAUGGAUCUGAAGUUGCAGUAGCUGGAGUCUGUCUACUGCCUUUGUUGUCGCAGUUUCUCUUAAAAGGAAAUCUGACUGGCCACAGUUUCAUGACCACUACAUAUGGUAAUAUGCUAAUACGCUAUGAAUUUAAAGGAGAGGGAUACAGAAAGCUCUCUCCAAAAUUAUUUUUGGCAACAUAGCCCUUAUAAAUGAGUGCUCUGUGACUUGGACAUCUGGUGUGAAGAAGAUAAAAUUGUUUUAUUUCUAUUUAGAGUAACAUAUAACAAAAUUUACUAGUCAGGUUUUUUACUAGCAACAGAAUAAAAUAAAAAUAGAUGCUGUCACCAAAGUAAAAAUAUAUAUUGUGAAUUAGCAAUAUCAUCUGACAUACUGUGUGUUCAAAGGGUAAAAAAAAUUACUUAUUAAAUACACUUCAGAAUUUCAAAUCCCAUAUUAGAUGAAUACGUCUUUCUCCACAAAACUCUUUUUCUCCCUAAAUUUUCAAAUGUGUCACUUUCUCUUGGAUCUCCCCUUAUAUUUCUCACUUAAAAAAAUAGCGGAUGGUUCACUUUUAUUACUACCGAGUUUGUGCUUACAGUUAAAACAGUUUAUGCAUUUCAGUUCUUAAGAGAGCCUUAUGUAUAGAAAAUCUUUAUAAAAAACAAUAGUAAGAUAUACCUUUACAGAUGGACGUUUGGAAAAGAUCUAAGUACUUGCACUACAAAUCUUUGAUUCCCUAGUAUGUCAUUGUGGCUGUUCAUACUUCACGCUGUGAGGUGUAUAGUUAGCUGACAGCCUCCCUCGUACCCUCACCCUAACCCCCAAUCUUGUGCUGAAUGCAACCCAUUCUUCUAGCAAGAUGCUUUGUGUCAGGGAAUCCCUAUCCAUUUGGCCAAAAGUUUCUUAAAACAGAGCUCUAGUCUGAAACUCUUUCUGCUCAAUCCUGCUUUCCCCCUUUCUCUUCCAAAGGCAUUUCCCUUAACAAAUGUCUUGUAUGUUGAAUCCCAAAUUGCUAUCUGCUUCUCAAGAGGAUGCAAAAUAAUAGUCACUUAUAUGUAAAUAUUCUCUAGCAUUUUAUAUUUCAUUGUCUUCUUUUCUAAUUCUGUUCUUUUGUUACUUUACCAUUAUUCCAUUAGAAAAAAAAUCCCAAACCCACUGCAUAAGAUCUUUGGGAGCAAAUUCUGUCUCUGUCUCCACCUGUUAACUAGGCUUAAGAAGAGCCAGAGGUAAUACUUCAGUGGUUCGGGAGCUCUCUGAAUUGUGCCUCCAUUCUGGAUCCCACACCAUUGACACAGCAUCCUUGUACCUGGAUUCAUCCUCUCUGUUGUGCCCUUUUGGAAUGAUAUCUAGGUUGGACUACAUGCUUAGAUUUUGGGUUUUUUUUCCCUGGCUUUUUUUUUUUCAUUUCUAGGCAUAGUCUCUUCAAUAGCUCACAGUUCUCUACUCUCAAGUUGGUGGUCCAGACUUGUUUUUCAUUUCCAAUCAGUUAUCAUUUAUCAAUAUCUGUAUAUUCAUUAUUUGAUUUUCUCUUAUCUGUUCCCACAACUAUUGCCUUAGGUUCAGCCUUCAUCAUGACUCACCUGCACCAUUGUAAAAGCCUCCUUGUUUGUCAAAAGGCCUGCAUUCAUUUCCCUUCAUCUGUUCUUCACUUUUCUGUGAGACUAUUUAUUUUCUAAACAAAACUAAUCAUUUACUUCCAGGCUUAAAAUCAUCUGCUGGCUCUCCUUUGCCUAGUUACAUGAUCCAAACCCUUUGUGAUGGUAUCUGAACUUUUUGACCAAUCCUUCAUCGUUUCUUUCUGCUUUAUUAUUUACCACUCUUCCACUCACUUUAUGCUUUAGUAUAACAGAACUAUGUCCAGCUCCUAGAACAUGACAUGCUCUGUCACGCCAUUGCAUUUUUGUGCAUGCUGUUCCUUAAGUUUAGAAUUCUUUUUUUCCUUCUUAUGUUCCCCCAAAACUAUUCAGAAUUCAGGGGUCAAUUAAACAUCAUCACCAUUUUGAAACAUUUUUGUACUUUCUCUCCUAGCCAUAAACUUUGUAACCACCUUCUUCUGUCUUGUAACCGCCUUUCUUUCUCCUAUUCAUAAACUUCGUAACCACUUUCCUCUCUCUAGGCCGCCAUAGUUAGACAUUUGUGCAGUAUCCUGUUCUUGCCUCUAUUGGAGCCUCUACAUAGAGCCCACCAUAAUGUACAUUCAUUUACUUGUCUGCUUCCUUUACUAAUCUGUGAGUUUCUUGAGGGUACAAGCAAGACUUAUUCAUUUUGGUCCCCAAAAUGGCAAGGACUUUGCAAAUAGAAGACGGUUAAAAGCGCUGAGUAAACUAUACCUUUUGUAAUAGUCCGUUCUCAUGUAGUUAUGAAGAAAUACCUGAGACUGGAUAAGUUAUAAACAAAAGAGGUUUAAUUGACUCAUAGUUCCACAUGGCUGGCGAGGCCUAGGGAAAUUACAAUCAUGGCUGAAGGCAUCUCUUCACAGGGCAAAAGGAAAGAGAAUGAGUGCCAACAAGGCAAUGUCAGACAGUUAUGAAACCAUCAGAUCUUCUGAGAACUCGCCCACUACCACUCGCCACUACUAUCUUCUGAGAACAGCAUGGAGAAAACCACCCCCAUAAUUUAAUUUCCUCUAUCUUGUCCUGCCCUUGACACAUGGGGAUUAUUACAAUUCGAGGUGAGAUUUGGGUGGGGACACAGCCAAACUAUAUCAUCUUCUCUUGUAUGGUUAUGCCAAGGAAGACAACGAUUUUCACUAAAGAAAGUUGAGGGCCCAAGAUGAGAAAAAGAGCACAAUGCUUACCGAUGAGUCUUAAUUUAUAAAAAGGAAAAAUCUAACAAAAGAAUAAAUAGUUAAAAAAAGAAAAUUAUAGACAUUGCCUUUUUAUGAAUGCUUUAAUCAAGUUACAGAAAGCUCCUGUGGAAUAAUGCAUAUAAGAUUUUUUAACCUCAUUUUUCUAUAAAGUAGUAAAGGAUUCCUGUUUAUUCUUAAAUAAUCAGAAACAUAAAGGAUGUGGCUUGUUUUGAAGCAUGAACAUUUGCAUGGUUUUGUCAAGAGGUCUAGGUUUGGCAGGCAAUCUCCAUAAUAAAUUUUCCACAAGCAGUUAUGGGUCUGCUCUUAGCAAGCCAAAUAAUAACUACUCAGGAAGGACUAGAUUUACAGCGGACCUUAAAAUGGAAAAGUGAGCACAUCCAUUGUACUCUGAAGAUUCAUUGAAUACAAAUAGAAGAAAGAUAUAUUAGAAAAUCAACUUUAGUGACAUUUCAGAAUUUGCAAGUCAAAAACUAAGAUUCCUUAGUAGAUAGAAUAAAGGAAGGGGAACACAGAUACAUACAGUAGUGUUAGCAUUAAAGGAUUGUCGGACUAUGGUCUCUGUAUUCAUAGGGAGCCCACAGGUGCUCCAGAGAGUCAGGGUUGAAGCAAGCAUUGCCUUUCAUUUUUUUUCAUGGGCAGGAAGAGAUUCCAGAUUCUACUCAUAAUAAAAAUUCUUUCUUAGUUUAUUUUCUCCUUAAUUGAAAUGAAAUUCACACAAUAUAAAAUUAACCAUUUUAAAGUGAACAAUUCAGUGGCAUUUAGUACACUCACAAUGUUCCAUAAGCCUUACUUAAAGCCAAAAUAUUCGUAUUACCCAAAAAGGAAACCCCAUGCCCUUUAGGAAGUUCCCUUAGGCUUUCCUUCCUUCAGUCCUUGGCAACCACUGAUUUCUGUUCCAUCUCUACACAUUUACAUAUUCUGGAUGUUUCCGAUAAAUAUAGUCAUAUAAUAUGUU